rnacentral:rRNA from 1 species
CUAACCUGCCCUUGGGAUCCGGAUAACCCUGGGAAACUGGGGCUAAUCCGGAGUAGGUAAGGGGCUCUGGAACGACUCCUUGCCUAAAGGCCCCUCGGCUGAUCCCGUCGGGGGGCGCCCAAGGAUGGGGCUGCGGCCCAUCAGGCUGUUGGCGGGGUAAAGGCCCGCCAAACCGAUAACGGGUAGGGGCCGUGGGAGCGGGAGCCCCCUGUUGGGCACUGAGACAAGGGCCCAGGCCCUACGGGGCGCACCAGGCGCGGGACGUCCCCAAUGCGGGAAACCGUGAGGGCGUUACCCCUAGUGCCCUCGCAAGAGGGCUUUUCCCCACUUUAGAACGGUGGGGGAAUAAGCGGGGGGCAAGACUGGUGUCAGCCGCCGCGGUAAUACCAGCCCCGCGAGUGAUCGAGACGUUUAUUGGGCUUAAAGCGCCCGUAGCCGGCCCGUAAAGUCACCGUUUAAAGACCCGAGCUCAACUCGGGGAGUGGCGGUGAUACUUACGGGCUAGGGGGCGGGAAAGGUCGGAGGUACUCCCGGAGUAGGGGCGAAAUCCUCAGAUCCCGGGAGGACCACCAGUGGCGAAAGCGUCCGGCUAGAACGCGCCCGACGGUGAGGGGCGAAAGCCGGGGUAGCAAAAGGGAUUAGAUACCCCUGUAGUCCCGGCUGUAACGAUGCGGGUUAGGUGUCGCGUGGGCUUUGAGCCCAUGCGGUGCCGCAGAAAACUGGUAAGCCCGCCGCCUGGGGAGUACGGCCGCAAGGCUGAAACUUAAAGGAAUUGG